UAUCAUUCACCAAUCCUUAUCCUACCAAGAAGACGUUUCAUCUGAAAACUAACAGGCCAGACAUGCUACAGUUCAAAGAGAGCAUCAUUGAGGUUGGUACCGGAGAAUCACACAGUAUUGGGCUUCGCUUCACUCCUCAACAGUUCCCGGGAAAAUCUGAAAUUCUCAUCUUCAUCAACGACUCGGAAGACAAAAAUGAAGAAACUUUUAGCAUCAACGCCGUCUAUACGUAACACUCUGCAUGUGCGAGGCUCCACAAGAAACCUCUAUUUUAUUAUGAAAUGCUAGUAUAGAAAGAUAGGAGAGACGCGUCAAUUUUAGAACUGAUAAGAUACGUAUUUUACUUUGAAUUAUUUGAUCUCGAAAAUAUUUAUUAAUAAAGCGAACUUAAUUGAAACAG